rnacentral:rRNA from 1 species
GAUGAACGCUGGCGGCGUGCCUAAUACAUGCAAGUCGAGCGAACGGAUGAGGAGCUUGCUCCUCUGAUGUUAGCGGCGGACGGGUGAGUAACACGUGGAUAACCUACCUAUAAGACUGGGAUAACUUCGGGAAACCGGAGCUAAUACCGGAUAAUAUUUUGAACCGCAUGGUUCAAAAGUGAAAGAUGGUCUUGCUGUCACUUAUAGAUGGAUCCGCGCUGCAUUAGCUAGUUGGUAAGGUAACGGCUUACCAAGGCAACGAUGCAUAGCCGACCUGAGAGGGUGAUCGGCCACACUGGAACUGAGACACGGUCCAGACUCCUACGGGAGGCAGCAGUAGGGAAUCUUCCGCAAUGGGCGAAAGCCUGACGGAGCAACGCCGCGUGAGUGAUGAAGGUCUUCGGAUCGUAAAACUCUGUUAUUAGGGAAGAACAUAUGUGUAAGUAACUGUGCACAUCUUGACGGUACCUAAUCAGAAAGCCACGGCUAACUACGUG